CGGGACGGGUGAGUAAUGUAUGGGGAUCUGCCUGAUGGCGGGGGAUAACUACUGGAAACGGUAUCUAAUACCGCAUAAUGUCUACGGACCAAAGCGGGGGACCUCCGGGCCUCUUGCCAUCGGAUGUGCCCAGAUGGGAUUAGCUAGUAGGUGGGGUAACGGCUCACCUAGGCGACGAUCCCUAGCUGGUCUGAGAGGAUGACCAGCCACACUGGAACUGAGACACGGUCCAG
rnacentral:rRNA from 1 species